rnacentral:rRNA from 1 species
AGGACGAACGCUGGCGGCGCGCUUAACGACAUGCAAGUCGAGCGAGAACCCACCUUCGGGUGGGGGAAAGCGGCGAACGGGUGAGUAACACGUGGGCAACCCACCCUUGGUAUCGGGAUAGCCCGGGGAAACCCGGAUUAAUACCGGAUGGCCCAGCUGCUCUUCGGGGCGGUUGGAAAAGGUAGCUUCGGCCUCCGACCAAGGACGGGCCCGCGGCGGAUUAGCUUGUUGGUGGGGUAAUGGCCUACCAAGGCGACGAUCCGUAGCUGGUCUGAGAGGACGAUCAGCCACACUGGGACUGAGACACGGCCCAGACUCCUACGGGAGGCAGCAGUGGGGAAUCUUGCGCAAUGGGCGAAAGCCUGACGCAGCGACGCCGCGUGGGGGAAGAAGGCUUUCGGGUUGUAAACCCCUUUCAGGUGGGACGAAGCCACUCGGGUUAAUAGCCCAGAGGGUGACGGUACCGCCAGAAGAAGCCCUGGCUAACUACGUGCCAGCAGCCGC